rnacentral:rRNA from 1 species
UGGCUCAGGAUGAACGCUAGCUACAGGCUUAACACAUGCAAGUCGAGGGGCAGCAUAACGAAAGCUGCUUUGUGAUGGCGACCGGCGCACGGGUGAGUAACGCGUAUCCAACCUUCCCGCGAGUAGGGAACAGCCCGGCGAAAGUCGGAUUAAUGCCCUAUGUUCUCCGAUGACGGCAUCAGAGUUGGAGUAAAGAUUUAUCGCUUGCGGAUGGGGAUGCGUCUGAUUAGCUUGUUGGCGGGGUAACGGCCCACCCAAGGCGACGAUCAGUAGGGGUUCUGAGAGGAAGGUCCCCCACAUUGGAACUGAGACACGGUCCAAACUCCUACGGGAGGCAGCAGUGAGGAAUAUUGGUCAAUGGGCGGAAGCCUGAAAACCCAGCCAAGUAGCGUGGAGGGAUGACUCGCCCUAUGGGUUAGUAAACCUCUUUUGUUCGGGAAUAAAGUUCGGGACGUGUCCCGUUUUGUAUGUACCGUUCGAAUAAGGACCGGCUAAUUCCGUGCCAGCCGCGGC